rnacentral:rRNA from 1 species
GACGAACGCUGGCGGCGUGCUUAACACAUGCAAGUCGAACGGAAAGGCCCUGCUUUUGUGGGGUGCUCGAGUGGCGAACGGGUGAGUAACACGUGAGUAACCUGCCCCUGACUUUGGGAUAACUUCAGGAAACUGGGGCUAAUAUCGGAUAGGAGCUCCUGCUGCACGGUGGGGGUUGGAAAGUUUCGGCGGUUGGGGAUGGACUCGCGGCUUAUCCGCUUGUUGGUGUGGUAGUGGCUUACCAAGGCUUUGACGGGUAGCCGGCCUGAGAGGGUGACCGGCGACAUUGGGACUGAGGGACGGCCCAGACGCCUACGGGAGGCAGCAGUGGGGAAUAUUGCACAAUGGGCGGAAGCCUGAGACAGCAGCGCCGCGUGCGGGAUGACGGCCUACGGGUUGUAAACCGCUUUCGCCUGUGACGAAGCGUGAGUGACGGUAAUGGGUAAAGAAGCACCGGCUAACUACGUG